rnacentral:rRNA from 1 species
UACGGAGGGUGCAAACGUUAAUCGGAAUUACUGGGCGCAAAGCGCGUGUAGGCGGUUUGUUAAGUCUGAUGUGAAAGCCCUGGGCUCAACCCAGGAAGUGCAUUGGAUACUGGCAGACUUGAAUACGGUAGAGGGUAGUGGAAUUCCUGGUGUAGGAGUGAAAUCCGUAGAUAUCAGGAGGAACACCGGUGGCGAAGGCGGCUGCCUGGACCGAUAUUGACGCUGAGACGCGAAAGCGUGGGUAGCAAACAGG